rnacentral:rRNA from 1 species
GAUGAACGCUGGCGGCGUGCCUAAUACAUGCAAGUCGAGCGAACGGACGAGAAGCUUGCUGCUCUGAUGUUAGCGGCGGACGGGUGAGUAACACGUGUAUAACCUACCUAUAAGACGGGGAUAACUUCGGGAAACCGGAGCUAAUACCGGAGAAUAUUUUGAACCGCAUGGGUGAAAGGUGAGAUACGGUCUUUCGGUCACUUAUAGAUGGAUACGCGCUGCAUUAGCUAGUUGGUAAGGUAACGGGUUACCAAGGCAACGAUGCAUAGCCGACCUGAGAGGGUGAUCGGCCACACUGGAACUGAGACACGGUCCAGACUCCUACGGGAGGCAGCAGUAGGGAAUGUUCCGCAAUGGGCGAAAGCCUGACGGAGCAACGCCGCGUGAGUGAUGAAGGUCUUCGGAUCGUAAAACUCUGUUAUUAGGGAAGAACAUAUGUGUAAGUAAAUGUGCACAUAUUGACGGUAACUAAUAAGAAAGCCACGGCUAACUACGUG